AUUUUAAGUUUUACCGCGUGGUGAAGAAUGGAGAAACAAAUGGAGGGCAUUUUUUAUCAAAACUUUAUACCUUUAUUGGAAGGUAAUAUGCUUUAUUUAAUAUCAAACCUUAUAGUAGAGUGCUUAGAUUGCCAAUAUAGAUUGAAAUUUAGGACAUGUAGCCCAAAUUUAAUGCGAUAUUUCGGCAUAAAGUUUGUGCUUUUGCUUUGCAAAUGGUUCGAUUUUCUAUAACAAUAUAAGCGAUUGUCGAACUUUAAACCGUGUUUAUUGUUGAACAAGUGAGAAAAAGACUGACUAAGAUCUAGAAUUGUGUAAGUUGUCGAAAGAAGUUGUUAUCUCUGAGUAUAUACUAUAAAAACUGUCUGUACCAGUGUAGGUAGUACCAUUGUGAAAAUGCUGUGCUGAGUGGUUAUAUUACUACCUGAAGAAACAAGCAGAAACUCGACGUUUCGAGUGAAGGCCCUUCGUCAAGCGUUAGUAUCUCUGGAUUCUUGCCGAAAAUUUUUAUAUUAAAAGCCGCAUACAGUCAUACAGAGACUCCUCGCUUGGGCGUAAAAAAAAAUACCUGUGGUUCCGGUUUCAUAUCGUGAAAAAAUUAGGGUCGGUAGGUCGGAAAUAAAUUUUUUUUUUAAUAUUUUUUCAUGGUUUUGGCGGUUUUUUGCUGGGCGAUUUGCAGUAGAGUCCCGACAUCAAUAUUAACUAGAGAUGCCUAUUUCCUAUGGACAAAUUUAGGCAAUUUGGUUCAAUAUUUAUGCACCUAUCAAUGUUAAGCCCCAGAGGGUCGGGCAUAGGUGAGGCAUUUGAUUUUUUGAGCAAAUUUUCAAUCAAAUGCCCCAUCGUCGGGCAAUAAAUAUUGGUCAAAUGCCCCACCAUUUUGCAAUAAAUUGCAAUAAAUACUAUAUAAUAACAGUCAUUUGGUUCAAAUUGCCCCAACUCAGGGCCAAAAUGCUAAUCAAAAUCCCCAGGGUGGGGAUGCAAUUCAUGAUCAAAUACCCCACAAUAGGUAGAGCGGUAGAGCGGCGGUCUAGAUACCUGAAGGUGCGAGUUCCACUCGGGCCAACAACUGCCCCGGGCAUACCCCCAGGAAUUUGGAUUUUGACAUCUUGGUCAGGUCAAAUUCCCUACAUAUAUUUGUAAUAUUUCCCAUUCAUAUACAAAUUGGAGUUCAAAUACACCACCCCAUGUACGAAUUGGUAGCUACAGCAUUUCGUAAUUUUGGAAUUACAAAGCUUUUCUUUCCUUCAAAAACACUCUUCAAUCGUUCAAAGCCGUUUUCUUUCAGUCAACCCAUUGACACCAUUUUGGAUUCAGCACACAUGCAGCCUUAUACCCAGGCACUUUGAUGUUGCGUGGCACACAUGUUCAAAAGAAAAAUUCAACUUCCCGACCCCCUUACAAAUUCCCCAGGUAUGCUUGGGGAGGGGGGAUGUCAAGGUUUCGAUUUGAUUCGCGCAUUACAGUAAUUACAAAUAAAACUAAAUGAAAAUUAAUUGCUACAAUAAGGCAAAAGCCAGAAUUGUAUUUCUUUAGUGAAAAGCUAGGAGGUAUGGUCAUAGUUAGGUGGGGCUAGUAAAUGUUGCAGGCUGAGGGUGGUUUGAAAAAAGAUUGUUCUUUUGAAGCACAUUUACUCCAGGCUCAAAAAUGUGCACCAGUAGCAGUUGUAAUUUGUAAAUCCUUUUUUCGACAUGGGCUGGCAAGGAUUCAAAGAAUGCUAAAAAAAUAAAAAGGACAGUAUUUGAUAAAUUUAAAUGCAGAUUAACUUGAUUUAUUGGGGCAGCAGAUGCCUGAAAUCAAAAUGAAGUUGAAAAAAAAAAUUCCAAUCAAAUUGUAACAUUUCCAAUUGGUCUGCAUUUUUCUGAUCAACUUUGAACAUAAUUUACAAAAAAUAUGUGGUUCAGGUUUCAUAUCCUGAAAAAAGUAGGAUAGGUGGCUCAAAUAAAACAAAUUUUCUUCAAAUAUUUUUCUGGCUUUUGACGGUCAACAACAUAUAAACAUUUCAAGAAGCAGUAACUGUGGGCUACAGACAGUAUUUUUGUUACAUCACAGGUUAUUUAAGUUACAUCAUAAAGCAAACAACAAAAAGUAGGGUAGGCAAGUAAGAAAACAACCCACAUCUAGAAAAAACAUUAUCUAAAGAGAGAGUAGGGUUGGCUGGAAAACCAGAACCAUAGGAUAUUGUUUUGUUUCAGACUCCGAUGUUCGUAUUGAGUUUUUCAUCUUGCUAGCCAAGCUAUUCACACCCUCAGUAAAAUUCUCAUCAAUUUUUGUAGAUGUACAGUGCAAGUUCCAAGAAUGUUGCAAGACUUGUGAUUAUGAAAAAUGGACACUUUCCAAGAUCCUGAAUUAGAGGUAAAUGGUUUUUUUUCUAAUUAUUUCUAACCUUUAUUUCUUGGACAAUUUUCUUUGGCAUAUAUAUAUUAAUUUAUAUAUAUAUUAAUUUCUUUCAUGUUCUCAAUAGUGAGUUUUUUAAAUUUUCUAGAUGUGUUUUGCAAUUUCAAAGAAUGUUUCAAGUUGUUGGCUGAAGUGUUUUUCAUCACAAAAAUGAACAUAGUCAUUGGAAAGUAUAUAAAAGGUCUUAAUAUUUUCCUGUCUUAUCUUACAUGAAAUGUUUUGAACAUUGUAUGAUCUUGCCUGUGAUCAAUGGUUUCAAAAAUUCCAGCAGAUUAUUGCAAAAACAGUAUGACCAUGUUACUUAUGACACAAAAUACAACAAAAGUAAUAAAUGCAAUCUUUACACCUAAAU